GCCCUGGCAGUCAGAGGCGAUGAAGGACGUGCUAAUCUGCGAUAAGCGUCGGUAAGGUGAUAUGAACCGUUAUAACCGGCGAUUUCCGAAUGGGGAAACCCAGUGUGAUUCGUCACACUAUCAUUAACUGAAUCCAUAGGUUAAUGAGGCGAACCGGGGGAACUGAAACAUCUAAGUACCCCGAGGAAAAGAAAUCAACCGAGAUUCCCCCAGUAGCGGCGAGCGAACGGGGAGGAGCCCAGAGCCUGAAUCAGUGUGUGUGUUAGUGGAAGCGUCUGGAAAGGCGCGCGAUACAGGGUGACAGCCCCGUACACAAAAAUGCACAUGCUGUGAGCUCGAUGAGUAGGGCGGGACACGUGGUAUCCUGUCUGAAUAUGGGGGGACCAUCCUCCAAGGCUAAAUACUCCUGACUGACCGAUAGUGAACCAGUACCGUGAGGGAAAGGCGAAAAGAACCCCGGCGAGGGGAGUGAAAAAGAACCUGAAACCGUGUACGUACAAGCAGUGGGAGCACAGAGCAAUCUGUGUGACUGCGUACCUUUUGUAUAAUGGGUCAGCGACUUAUAUUCUGUAGCAAGGUUAACCGAAUAGGGGAGCCGAAGGGAAACCGAGUCUUAACUGGGCGUUAAGUUGCAGGGUAUAGACCCGAAACCCGGUGAUCUAGCCAUGGGCAGGUUGAAGGUUGGGUAACACUAACUGGAGGACCGAACCGACUAAUGUUGAAAAAUUAGCGGAUGACUUGUGGCUGGGGGUGAAAGGCCAAUCAAACCGGGAGAUAGCUGGUUCUCCCCGAAAGCUAUUUAGGUAGCGCCUCGUGAAUUCAUCUCCGGGGGUAGAGCACUGUUUCGGCAAGGGGGUCAUCCCGACUUACCAACCCGAUGCAAACUGCGAAUACCGGAGAAUGUUAUCACGGGAGACACACGGCGGGUGCUAACGUCCGUCGUGAAGAGGGAAACAACCCAGACCGCCAGCUAAGGUCCCAAAGUCAUGGUUAAGUGGGAAACGAUGUGGGAAGGCCCAGACAGCCAGGAUGUUGGCUUAGAAGCAGCCAUCAUUUAAAGAAAGCGUAAUAGCUCACUGGUCGAGUCGGCCUGCGCGGAAGAUGUAACGGGGCUAAACCAUGCACCGAAGCUGCGGCAGCGACACUAUGUGUUGUUGGGUAGGGGAGCGUUCUGUAAGCCUGUGAAGGUGUGC
rnacentral:rRNA from 1 species